ACCAACCUUAAAUUUUUCUUUAAUGUUUUGUGCUCUACAAUUUGUACACAAUACUAAAAGAAUACAAAUAACAGAAUCACAAGCAAAGAAAGCUAUCGAAUUGCCACACUAGAAUAUACGAAACUAAAAAUCAAUUAAAUCGAAAAAAAAAAUGAAUGAAAUGAAUAUGAAACAACUCAACUAAUAUUAUACAAACGAUGAGUCUCAUGACACACGUGUUAUGAUCAGAGCAGAACUCUUUAUACCUGAAUGAAUUGCAUUCAACAGUGCUACAAAAUUGAAUAGACUGUCUUCAGAGAACCACUUGAGCUUCCAUGUCAAAGGGCAGCCUGUAUUUUCCUUAUCAAUGGUUG
rnacentral:misc_RNA from 1 species